rnacentral:rRNA from 1 species
UACAGAGGGGGCAAGCGUUGUUCGGAAUUACUGGGCGUAAAGGGCGCGUAGGCGGCCUUCUAAGUCGAACGUGAAAUCCCCGGGCUCAACCCGGGAACUGCGUCCGAUACUGGAAGGCUUGAAUUCGGGAGAGGGAUGCGGAAUUCCAGGUGUAGCGGUGAAAUGCGUAGAUAUCUGGAGGAACACCGGUGGCGAAGGCGGCAUCCUGGACCGGCAUUGACGCUGAGGCGCGAAAGCCAGUGGAGCAAACGGG